GCCGUCGUAGCUCAGCCUGGAAGAGCACUCGGCUGAAGACCGGGCUGUCGUGAGCUCAAAUCUCACCGGCGGCA
rnacentral:tRNA from 1 species